rnacentral:tRNA from 1 species
GGGCCCAUAGCUCAGCUGGGAGAGCGCUUGAAUGGCAUUCAAGAGGUCAGCGGUUCGAUCCCGCUUGGCUCCACCA